UAAGGAUCAUUUGAAUUUUAUUUAGGAUUCAAUUAGACUUGGUAGAAUUAUUAUUGCAUUUCUAUUUAUCUUCUAAGGCUAGGUGUCUGGUGUAUUUUCAAGCAAAAAUACAUGUAAUACAAUACUAUUGAUUUUGACUAAAAUUUUACUUACAUUUUAAUUUAUAAACAAUUAACAAGCAUACAAAAUUUGAAGAAAAUCAAACUUUCUAAUU
rnacentral:lncRNA from 1 species